GGGGCGAUCUGGUGAUAUGUUUCCUAUACUACAGGGGAAGGCACGGGUUGGUGUGACCCUCGCCGUUUAAGCGAGCGCGGGGGUUCGAUUCCCCCUCGCCCCG
rnacentral:tRNA from 1 species